UACGUAGGGGGCAAGCGUUGUCCGGAAUUAUUGGGCGUAAAGCGCGCGCAGGCGGUUAAUUAAGUUGGGUGUUUAAGCCCGGGGCUCAACCCCGGUUCGCAUCCAAAACUGGUUGACUUGAGUGUAGGAGAGGAAAGUGGAAUUCCACGUGUAGCGGUGAAAUGCGUAGAGAUGUGGAGGAACACCAGUGGCGAAGGCGACUUUCUGGCCUAUAACUGACGCUGAGGCGCGAAAGCGUGGGGAGCAAGCAGG
rnacentral:rRNA from 1 species